GGAAAUGCCGUUUGGAUAAUGAGGGAGCCU
rnacentral:piRNA from 1 species